GACACACACGUGGAGAGAGGAAUAGCUAACCAGACAGUGGAUAGACGUGCAGCAGCAAGGAUCUUGUGAGAUAAGCUUUUUAUUUUCCUUUGAAUAUAAAUCUAACCAAAAGCUUAAAUUACUACCAGCAAAAACUAUUUUGUAUAGAUUAGUAUAGCAGACUUCGGUGGUUUGCAGCCUCUGGUUUUACCCGAACCUCUUCUGUUGUCAUUCAAAACACGUCAGAGAAAAUGGCGGAACUUGAAAAAGACGCAGGACUACCCCAACCAAUGCAGGAGAACCGAGAUGAAGAGGAGCCGGGCAAUUCCAUGGACAAAAGACCCCAGGCUGUGUAAGGGCUAUUUGAUGAAGGAGAGUGAUGGAGGGCUGCAUCAGAUGACCCGACCUCAACCCAAUUGAGAUGGUUUGGGAUGAGUUGGACCGCAGAGUGAAGGAAAAGCAGCCAACAAGCGCUCAGCAUAUGUGGGAACUCAAGACUGUUGAAAAAGCAUUCCAGGUGAAGCUGGUUGAGAGAAUACUAAGAGUGUGCAAAGCUGUCAAGGCAAAUGGUGGCUACUUUGAAGAAUCUAGAAUAUAUUUUGAUUUGUUUAACAUUAUUUUGUUUCAACAUGAUUCCAUAUGUGUUAUUUCAAGGUUUUGAUGUCUUCACUAUUAUUCUACAAUGUAGAAAAUAGUACAAAUAAAGAAAAACCCUUG
ensembl:lncRNA